AUGGCGUCCAAGGGUCUCGUUGUGUUUGCUGUCCUGCUUGCUGCGGCUUUCCUCGUGGCCACAGCUGAACAAACUCAGGCCAAGAAGGAAGAGACUAAGGCCGGUGUUCAGGGUUACCACGGCCGCGGCGGCGGAGGCGGUGGUAACCAUGGCGGCGGCGGAGGCGGUGGGUACCCUGGCCAGGGGGGUGGCGGCGGCGGCCGCGGCGGUUACCCUGGCCACGGGGGCGGCGGCAGCGGCGGUGGCGGGUAUCCUGGCCACGGUGGCGGCGGAGGUGGCGGCGGCGGCAGCGGCUGCCGGUACCAGUGCUGCGGGCACGGGCAUGGUGGCUGCCGCUGCUGCGCAAGCCCCAACGAGAUCCCGGAGCCCAUGUAUCGGGCGGAGGUCCGCAACUAA
rnacentral:rRNA from 1 species